rnacentral:rRNA from 1 species
UAGGGAAUAUUAGAAAUGGACGAGAGUCUGAUCUAGCAACACCGCGUGUGCGAAGAAGGCCUUCGGGUCGUAAAGCACUUUUUGGAAGGAAUAGGAAGGAAUGUACUUCCAGAAUAAGUCUCGGCUAACUACGUGCCAGCAGCCGCGGUAACACGUAGGAGGCGAACGUUAUCCGGAUUUACUGGGCGUAAAGCGCGUGUAGGAGGUACUGUAAGUAGGGCGUGAAAGCUCCUGGCUCAACUGGGAGAGGCCGUUCUAAACUACAGAACUAGAGGAUGGUAGAGGGAGGUGGAAUUCCAGGUGUAGCGGUGGAAUGCGCAGAUAUCUGGAGGAACACCGGUGGCGAAGGCGGCCUCCUGGACCAUUCCUGAGACUCAGACGCGAAAGCUAGGGUAGCAAACGG